CCUACGGGCGGCUGCAGUGAGGAAUAUUGGUCAAUGGACGAGAGUCUGAACCAGCCAAGUAGCGUGAAGGAUGACUGCCCUAUGGGUUGUAAACUUCUUUUAUAUGGGAAUAAAAUGUUCCACGUGUGGGAUUUUGUAUGUACCCUAUGAAUAAGGAUCGGCUAACUCCGUGCCAGCAGCCGCGGUAAUACGGAGGAUCCGAGCGUUAUCCGGAUUUAUUGGGUUUAAAGGGAGCGUAGGUGGAUUGUUAAGUCAGUUGUGAAAGUUUGCGGCUCAACCGUAAAAUUGCAGUUGAAACUGGCAGUCUUGAGUGCAGUAGAGGUGGGCGGAAUGCGUGGUGUAGCGGUGAAAUGCUUAGAUAUCACGAAGAACUCCGAUUGCGAAGGCAGUUCACUGGACUGCAACUGACACUGAGGCUCGAAAGUGUGGGUAUCAAACAGGAUUAGAUACCCUUGUAGUC
rnacentral:rRNA from 1 species